CGGCAAAAGCUCAAAUUUGAAAUCUGGCUGCUUUUUUAGUAGUCCGAGUUGUAAUUUGAAGAAUAGAUCCUUGGAGAGGCGCCUUGUCUAUGUUCCUUGGAACAGGACGUCGCAGAGGGUGAGAAUCCCGUUUGGCGAGGUGUGCUGAUCCGUGUAAGGGCUGUUCGACG
rnacentral:rRNA from 1 species